rnacentral:rRNA from 1 species
CUGGCGGCACGCCUAACACAUGCAAGUCGAACGAAGUAGCAAUACUUAGUGGCAGACGGGUGAGUAACAUGUAGGUAUCUGCCCUAUGGCCUGGAAUAACACGAGGAAACUUGUGCUAAUACCGGAUAAGUCUUUACGGAGAAAGCUUUAUGCACCAUUGGAUGAGCCUGCACUUGAUUAGUUUGUUGGUGGGGUAAUGGCCUACCAAGACUGUGAUCAAUAGCUGAUUUGAGAGGAUGAUCAGCCACAUUGGGACUGAGACACGGCCCAAACUCCUACGGGAGGCAGCAGUGGGGAAUCUUGCACAAUGGAGGAAACUCUGAUGCAGCGAUGCCGCGUGAGUGAAGAAGGCCUUUGGGUUGUAAAGCUCUUUCGUCGGGGAAGAAAAUGACUGUACCCGAAUAAGAAGGUCCGGCU